rnacentral:tRNA from 2 species
GGAGUUAUGGCUCAGUGGUACAGCACAUGCCUGGCAUGUAUGAGGCCCUGGGUUCGAUCCUCAGCACCA